rnacentral:lncRNA from 1 species
GGGGUCAGGGCCGGGGUCGCUGUGCUUCGUGGCGGCGCGGGUCCUCCGUUUCCCAGGAGGAAAAAAAAAAAGAAAAAUGGAGUCGCAGCCGGCUUCGGCAGGUGUUGGGGCCAGGCGUGCGAGACGCCGAGGCCGCGGGGACUUCCCCACCUGCUUCCAACCGACGAAAGCGUGAAGUGAGGCGCGCCCAGUCCCACCCUGCCCAGGUGUGAAGCGCCUCCCGGACUGAGAGGGCCUUGACUGAGGGGCAGGGAGAGAGGUCCUGGCCCCCGAGUGACCGAGGACUUUCUUGCAAAAAUGCCUGUUCGGGAUUCCUCAGAGUACAGACAAAAAGGAAGGCUUGAUCAGCAUGUGGUGGAUCUGAAGAUUCAAAGAAUUGCCGCGGCUCAAAAGUAGACAUUUUGGUAAAUGUGAAGAGUGAGAUUCAAUGAAGAUGAUAAGAAAUGAAAGGUGUUACCAAAAUGCACUGGUCUAGAGAGCGGCAGUUGGACCCCAGAGUGUGGCACGUGUUCCUGUGUUCAUUUGAACAUUCUCUGAUGACCUGUCGCUGAGGUCCUGUGAUGAUGCGUAUCCUGUCUUCCACCCCAACUGCCACUGUGUUUCAACUGUCGCUGGCUGUGUUUCAACUGCCGCUGUGUUGGAACUGCCAGCUAGACUGCUCACCAAAAUGGGAGGCAGCCUCUGCUGCUGUGGUGAAGGUGAAGACACACUCAGCGAUUCAGCUCUACAGUAUGCACUCUGGGAUCUCCCAUUUGCUAAGGAAGGAUCUUAGCUUUGAGAAAGGUGUCAAGCCUGUGGCAGCAGAGCUUCCUGGGGAGUCCUCAGAGCAAGUCAUUGCCAUUGUCGAAGUGUCUUCUAGGCUUUAUUUUGGGGCCAUUACCUCGAGCACUGUUUCUUGUCUGGUUUCCUAAUGUCAGCAACUGAAGAAAAGACCUGUAUACACAGGACACAGCAUGGUCUGACGCUCACAGUGUUUUCCUUUCUCUCUGCAGAGGGAUUCAGCACUUUGGGCAAGUGGUUGCACAGAGGAUCCCGUGGAAGAAUUCAUAUAUGAAUCAGAUGAGAAUGCCCCAGGACCAUCGUAGAUACCAACAAGCCCUCUCCCGGCACCUGCAGAAAAAGUGGGGAAAAUCCCCGAAGAGGCAGAAACAUUCAUCCGGAAGGGCCGCCAGCCAGUGGAUUUCCCGGGCCCCUCAGCCCUCUGGAGUGUACGAGUUUUGGAGAAACCUCUUCCUCUGUAUAUGCUUUUGACUUUCCUGGACUGAUGUAAAAAUACUCUUUUCUUUGACCUGUUUAUUUUUAAGACACGAUGUGAUUGUGUCAGCUUAUAUUUUAUUGCUGAAGUAAAUUUUCAAAUGUUUUAUUAGUUUUUUU